rnacentral:rRNA from 1 species
AUCAAAGGUGAGCCAGUACAGGAUGGACCCGCGUCUGAUUAGCUAGUUGGUAAGGUAACGGCUUACCAAGGCGCCGAUCAGUAGCCGACCUGAGAGGGUGAUCGGCCACAUUGGAACUGAGACACGGUCCAAACUCCUACGGGAGGCAGCAGUGGGGAAUAUUGCACAAUGGGCGAAAGCCUGAUGCAGCACCGCCGCGUGAGGGAUGAAGGCAUUCGGGUCGGACAACUCUGUCCUCAAGGAAGAUAAUGACGGUACUUGAGGAGGAAGCCCCGGCUAACUACGUGCCAGCAGCCGCGGGAAUACGUAGGGGGCUAGCGUUAUCCGGAUUUACUGGGCGUAAAGGGUGCGUAGGCGGUCUUUCAAGUCAGGAGUGAAAGGCUACGGCUCAACCGUAGUUAGCUCGUGAAACUGGGAGACUUGAGUGCAGGAGAGGAGAGUGGAAUUCCUAGUGUAGCGGUGAAAUGCGUAGAUAUUAGGAGGAACACCAGUUGCGAAGGCGGCUCUCUGGACUGUAACUGACGCUGAGGCACGAAAGCGUGGGGAGCAAACAGGAUUAGAUACCCUGGUAGUCCACGCUGUAAACGAUGAGUACUAGGUGUCGGGGGUUACCCCC